GUGCUCUACGAUCUUGUAGAGACUUUGAUAGAGCUUGAGCACUCUAGGAUUGUGUAGAGAGUCUUAUAUGGAGAUGCUCACCUUUCUAGGUUUGAGCACUCCGGGGAGUCUACAAUACAAUCCAUGCAA